rnacentral:rRNA from 1 species
AGAGUUUGAUCAUGGCUCAGGAUGAACGUUGGCGGGACGCCUAACACAUGCAAGUCGAACGGGGUUGCUUUGAAGGAAGCCUUCGGGCAGACGGACAAGUAACUUAGUGGCGGACGGGUGAGUAACACGUGAGCAAUCUGCCUUUCAGAGGGGGAUACCGUUUGGAAACGAACGUUAAUACCGCAUGAUGCAACGAAGCCGCAUGACUUUGUUGCCAAAGAUUUAUCGCUGAAAGAUGAGCUCGCGUCUGAUUAGAUAGUUGGUGAGGUAACGGCCCACCAAGUCGACGAUCAGUAGCCGGACUGAGAGGUUGAACGGCCACAUUGGGACUGAGACACGGCCCAGACUCCUACGGGAGGCAGCAGUGGGGAAUAUUGCACAAUGGAGGAAACUCUGAUGCAGCGAUGCCGCGUGAGGGAAGAAGGUUUUCGGAUUGUAAACCUCUGUCUUUGGGGACGUAAUGACGGUACCCAAGGAGGAAGCUCCGGCUAACUACGUGCCAGCAGCCGCGGCAAUACGUAGGGAGCAAGCGUUAUCCGGAAUUACUGGGUGUAAAGGGAGUGUAGGCGGGACAGCAAGUCAGAUGUGAAAAUCAUGGGCUCAACUCAUGACCUGCAUUUGAAACUAUUGUUCUUGAGUGAAGUAGAGGUAAGCGGAAUUCCUAGUGUAGCGGUGAAAUGCGUAGAUAUUAGGAGGAACAUCAGUGGCGAAGGCGGCUUACUGGGCUUUUACUGACGCUGAGGCUCGAAAGCGUGGGGAGCAAACAGGAUUAGAUACCCUGGUAGUCCACGCUGUAAACG